AAGCUAAUACCGGAUAGGAUCUUCUCCUUCAUGGGAGAUGAUUGAAAGAUGGUUUCGGCUAUCACUUACAGAUGGGCCCGCGGUGCAUUAGCUAGUUGGUGAGGUAACGGCUCACCAAGGCAACGAUGCAUAGCCGACCUGAGAGGGUGAUCGGCCACACUGGGACUGAGACACGGCCCAGACUCCUACGGGAGGCAGCAGUAGGGAAUCUUCCGCAAUGGACGAAAGUCUGACGGAGCAACGCCGCGUGAGUGAUGAAGGCUUUCGGGUCGUAAAACUCUGUUGUUAGGGAAGAACAAGUACGAGAGUAACUGCUCGUACCUUGACGGUACCUAACCAGAAAGCCACGGCUAACUACGUGCCAGCAGCCGCGGUAAUACGUAGGUGGCAAGCGUUAUCCGGAAUUAUUGGGCGUAAAGCGCGCGCAGGCGGUUUCUUAAGUCUGAUGUGAAAGCCCACGGCUCAACCGUGGAGGGUCAUUGGAAACUGGGGAACUUGAGUGCAGAAGAGAAAAGCGGAAUUCCACGUGUAGCGGUGAAAUGCGUAGAGAUGUGGAGGAACACCAGUGGCGAAGGCGGCUUUUUGGUCUGUAACUGACGCUGAGGCGCGAAAGCGUGGGGAGCACACAGGAUUANAUACCCUGGUAGUCCACGCCGUAAACGAUGAGUGCUAACUGUUAGAGGGUNCCGCCCUUUAGUGCUGCAGCUAACGCAUUAAACACUCCGCCUGGGGAGUACGGUCGCAGGACUGAAACUCAAAGGAAUUGACGGGGGCCGCCCAACCGGUGGAGCAGGUGGUUUAUUCAAGCACGCGAAGAACUUACCGGUCUUGACUCCUCUGACACUCUCAGAUAAAGGUUCCCUUCCGGGGAGGNAUGACAGUGGUGCAGGUUGUCGUCCCUCAGAUCUGAAAUUUGGGUAAGUCCCCACCACCCACCCUGAUCUAUUGCAGCAUUAUUGGAAUCUAAGUACUGCCGUGAC
rnacentral:rRNA from 1 species